rfam:Myotis lucifugus cont2.40756, whole genome shotgun sequence.
CUCGGGAGGGGGUUGUCCCUCAGCCUGGAUUGCAAGAGGGCACAGGCCAGGCCGAAGGACCCCACUGGUGCAUG